UACGUAGGCAGCAAGCGUUGUUCGGAAUUACUGGGCGUAAAGCGUGUGUAGGCGGUUGGGUAAGUCUGGUGUGAAAUCUCCCGGCUCAACUGGGAGGGUGCGCCGGGAACUGCCUGGCUGGAGUGCGGAAGAGGAGAGUGGAAUUCCCGGUGUAGCGGUGAAAUUCGUAGAUAUCGAGAGGAACACCGGUGGCGAAGGCGGCGAUCUGGACGAUGACUGACGCUGAGACGCGAAAGCGUGGGGAGCAAACAGG
rnacentral:rRNA from 1 species